rnacentral:lncRNA from 1 species
AUUAAAUGACAUUCAUUAAUAAUGACCAAACAACUUUUAUUGGAAAGGAAAAAAGAAAAUACAACUGACAAAAAUCUCAAUGCAUUUAAUAAAAUCAAUUAAUAAUGAAUUAGAAAUAAACUAUUCCCAAAAACAAACUUUUUCUUCCCAAUACAUUACUCCACUCUCUUUCCACGAUAGUUAGAAGGAAAAUAUGAGAGAGAGUAUUCACUCUAAACCUUAUCUCUCUCCCUUCUCAUAUGAACUUCUCCCUCAAUAAUCAUCCUCGUCGAAGAUGGGUGAUGGACGGUGGCGGCGCCGCCGCCAUCCUCUCCGGCGGCCAACAACUGAAAAAACCUAAACCCUACAUAUAAACCCCCACUAUUCUUUUGUGUUCUUUCCCUAUCUAAACUUCGUUUCGUCAAAAAAAAAACCAACCUAAACAUAGAUCGAACGAUCCCGAAAAUCAAAAAUCCUAAAACCUAUAACAUAAAACCCUUCGUAUUAGCCAUUAACAAUAAACCAAAACACAUGAGAAAAAACAAUUAGGGACGAGUUUGAAGAAACAACACAGUAAAGCAAGAAGAAGAAAAAAAGUCAAGAUCUCUUAGCUCAAAUAUUAAAGAGUCAAAAGAAGAACUACCUAGAUGUUCAGACACAACAACAAUCGCUCCCUUGCCCUCUGCUUUCGAUUUCAGAGGUUCUUGGAUUUUUAUGAUGGUUUAUUUGAACUUUAUCUUAGUUUGAUUGAAAUUUUUGUUUCAAGAUGUUUGGAAAAAAAUUGUUUGGUAGUUUGAAAGAAUUUGUCUCCGGUUGUUUGAAAAAAGUUGGAUUAUUGAAAUUUUGAUGUUUUUUCUUCUUUGUUCAAUCUGAUUAGUUUUUUUUUGUAUGAUGACUGCUAGGUAUUUGUAUUCAUCCCCAUUUUAUAUUGUAAAUGUUUUAGGGUUUAUGCUAUUGAUAUAUGACACAAAAGUAAUGGAAUUAUUCAACUUUUUUUAUGCCAAGAAAUGUUUUAACAGUUUGCUGAAAGAUCUGCUAUGUUGAUGUUUUGAUGUUACCCGCACGUUUACUUUCUUAUGCUUUAAUCUUGGUUUGUACUUGUUUUCUAAAAUUAUGCUAUUUUGCUGCUUAUUUUUCCAGUUUUAAUAAGUCAAAAGAUGGAGGAAAGAUUCUAUUCUAUGAAGACAAAUGCUAAGUCACAAUCUUGCAAAAACAAAAGGGCCUACACUUUUUGAAAUAUUUUGGUUAUUAUUUUUUCUGAUUAAAUGUAACAAAAUGUAAUUCACAAUGUAUUAAGUUCUCUUAGUUAUUGAACUUAAUUAUAGAACUUAAUUAUAGAACUUAGUGUAACAAAAUGUUAUUUCUCUUAAGUUAGACCAUGUAUUUUAACUCUUCAUUAUUACCUGAUUAUUUCCAAAUAACAUAAAACUUGUACUUCAAAAGUGGCCAUGUAAUUCAAAUCAUGAUGAUUUUUUCAAUUCAAAUUUGUAAUAAGAAAACACAUUACCUUUGUUUCCAAACCAUAAAAGAAAACAAGAAUUAAAACGAAAUAAAAUCCUAAUUUAAUUGAAUUUAAAAUGCAAUAAAAGUAUAGUUAAAGAGCACUUAAUGAAAUUCCAAAUGGAUGCAUGAUAGAAAUAACGUAUGAAGAAAAACAACUACAUGAAUGACAUGGUAUAUGUGUAUGCAUGAAUGAAUGAAUCACAAAGUUCAAAAAUAAUUAUAAGUAAAGGUGUUUGAAAGUCAAGCCUUUAACCAAAAAAAUGAUAUCCAAAAGAAUCAUGAACUAUCCAAGUCUAAUAUUGUAGAGACACCUAGGGUUACUUAGUCUUUGAUUAUCAAACUAAUGUGUGGAAAGAUCUUUAUGACCAAAUGUAACAGUCAUGAGAAAUAAUGCAAAGUGAAAUGCUAGUGAAUCAGGAGUGCUAAUGAAUGGAUACUAAUGAAUGAAUGAAGACGACUGAAAGACAUAUGAAUUAUUUUAGGUGGUUGAAAAAUUUAGGGUAUGACACCAACCUUCUGAUUUGUUUCAAACAUUUUAAUCGCAGUCUUUGGUUCAGAUUACCAUGUGUGUGACACGUUGACUGAAGCGCAUCGUGGAUAGCACACGAUUGACCAUCAAAUCUGCCACCUCAGAUUUCCAUUUAAUCCAUUUAUUUUAUUUUAUUCAUAGAAAUUUCAUUUUUAAUCCAAAAAAUAUGGGACUUUCACCAAAAAUCUUUAAAUAUUUUUCUCUUCCAUUUCUUAAUUAAUAUCAUUUUUGGAUUAAUUUUGGUAUUUUUCAUGAAUUAAAUGUUUUUGUGCAUAUUUUUAAUUGUUUAAAAAUACUUCUGACUUUUUAAAAAUCAUGAUUUUUUUUGUCUAACGUCCUUUGACCUUGUUUGACCUAGGAUAAAUCCCUUGGCCAUUUAUUUGGUGUUUUGAAGGGAUUUGAGGUUUCAUACAAAUAAAAAUGCAUUUUAAUUUAUUUUUAAAAUGACUUUUAAUUGAUUAAAUGUUCAAAAAUUAUGUUGAGCCAUUUCUAUGGUCUUGUGAUGUUUUACUUUCUGUUUGGGCAUUGGUCAUGGUGAUUUGACUUUUGUUUGAUCAAAACCAUUUGAUUUAGGGGAUUGAUGAAAUGUAAAUUUCAUCUCCCAAAAUGAAUGGAUGGUAUUAAUCAAAUGAAAUUCGUCUCAUGAUCAAUUUGUGUUUCUAUUUACCCUUCUCUCUUCAUCUUCAUCCCUAUUCUUCCCCAUUCCCUCAUUUGACCAAUUAAAUCUCUAAUGUCUAAAUGCUAAUUGAUUCAUCCAUGACCUUGUGUCAGAUAAAUUAAUACAAGUCUGACUGAGAUAUGUCCCUCCCAUUUUCUUUAAGUGUGGUAUGGUUUAGGAAUUUGGUUCUUUGUACCAAAUUUCUAACAUGCAUUAACACCUAUAUUUUUAUUGCCCGGGCUCAGAUAGUUGUGACUUCUACGUAAGUCCAGUUACGAUUGCUUAACAUAGAGCUAAAUUUGACCCUUAAAGCAUAACAUUCUAGUUAGUGAGAUUGUAAGUGUCCCAUACUUCAUGGCAUUGUAUGGAGAGUUGACAUUUUUCCUUUCAUAAGAGCUAGUGGCAUACUUGUUGAAUUAUCCAAAUUGGAGCCCUUCUCAUGGAUGAUGUCUUGGUUCAAGGAUUCAUACUUGUGAAUGAAUGGUUGAGUGUUCUCCAAAUAAUGACUAAAUCAAUUAAAACUCAACACUAAACAUUUGACUAACCAUUGACUAACCAUUGACUAACCCUUAUUUAUUAUGCUUUUACUUUCAAGUCAUUUAUUUUAUACAAUUUACAUUUCAGUCAUUUAUCAUUCAUUGCCAUUUACAUUUCAUGCAACCUGUUUAUGUUUAAGUCCUUUUUUACUUUGCUCACUUGAGCCAUGACUUGUGUUGUAUAUAUUGUUUGUUUGUGGUCUUAGGAUCCUAAAACACUUAAUAAUGAUAAAAACCCUAAAAAACAUUUGGUGGACUGUUGGGACUUGACCUAAGCUUUGAACUUAGAACUAGGCAACAUUCCAUAUGCUAAAAGACUUGGCCAAUGCCAACAUUUGAGACUGAGCUAUCGCUGCUCGUGCCUUCAUCUGAUGCAAGACUUUGGAUCUCUUUUGACUCAUAUGCUACUUUGUCUUUGUGCUUAAUUGUUAUUUUGUUAUUGCCUUUGUUUGAUGUUUUAUUCUGAGUUGGUCAAGGAAUAUUUCAUCUGAUACAUUGGAGGAUAAUGAAGACUGCUAGCUAUUGGAAUGCUCGUUUGGAUGUGGCUAUCUUUAUUUGAUGCCUUGAUCUUUAUGAUGUCUGGAUAUUGCUUAUUGCUUAUUGCUUGAUCAAAGUCUAGAGGAAAAUGGGUUUCUAUAUGACAUUCAAGUCUGUUGGAUUGCAUCCCAUUGGUGAGAUCUUUUCAACUCUUAACUUUUAAUUUUUGCUUAGGAUAGUCUCUUCAUCUCCUCCCACUUCUUUAAUUUCAAAAUCUCUCCCUCUUUUCAAAAACCUUAUUUGCUUGUAAUUUCAAACUUAGACAUGUUUUAAUGAUUAGAAACUUUGGCCUUAUGCCAAUGAAUUUUAAAAUCUUUUCUUAAUCAAAUUUCUGAAUGAACUUAACCAUAUUGACCUAAAUUUCAAAAAGACAAAAAGAACUAACAACUCAAUUCAAGGUUUUGGCCUUUUGUGCCUUCUUAUUAAAUUUUUGUUAAAAUCAAUUCACCAACUUCUUUUGAAAUUUUUACCAUGAACUACGGGGUUUUGAUCCCUCAUUUUUAUGUUGGUACGUAGGCACAAGACCGGAAGGUCUUGUCAAACACAAAAAAUAUAAUCAAUGAAUUCUUUUCUCAUACCCAUACUCUAUAUUUUAUCAAACAUCAUUUAUACCCAAAAACAUAUGCACACAAAAAAAGGGCUCCCUAUGAGUACCUAGGACACUUUGGAUGCUAACACCUUCCCUCUGUGUAACUAACCCCCUUACCUGUAAUCUCUAGCAUUUUAUUAGUUUUGAUUCGAAAGCUUCUUAUCUUUGGGUUCUGUUUGUACUUUUCCCUUUUCCUUUGGAAACAAUAAAAGCACGGUGGCGUCUCUAGUUUUAUUGACGUUAAGCUUAUCCAUAGCUUGCUGGUAAUGAAUUUACCGCUAUAGAAAUUAAGUGGCGACUCUGCUGGGGAGUAGUCCUCAGUGGGUUUAGCCUUCUUUUUUAUGUGUAUAUAUUUGUAUAUUUGAUGUUUGUAUAUAUGGUUUGUAUGAUAUAGUCUGUCUGUUGUGCUUGGUGAUCUCUGAAUGGUGAGAUAAGUUCUAACCCGAACUUGAGUGCAAUUAAGAUAUGAGGAUGGUAUAGUCAUGUUCGAAUUGUAUGGAGUAGUCAUUAAUAAGUUGGAUUGAGACCCAUCUAAUCAGUGAAGACCCUUUUGGAGUUACUGAUGUCACACAAGUUAUUUGUGGAUAGGCAUUACUUUCUCUAAUUUGGGGUCCGAGAAGCUGAGGACCGUAGAACAUUUAACCUAACUUGGCCUAUUUAGGACGUAGCGCGGAAACUGUUCAGGUGUAGACCUGAUAAAAGUUUUUACGCGAUACUACACUCAAACGAGUUUCUCUUGAGAAUAUUAUGGGUCGAUGAGUCAAUCAUCCUAACCUAUAAUAUCCGAUAGAUGGGAUUAAGACUCUGGGAACUUCUUAGAACAUGAUCUACAAGUUUUUAUCCUUAGUACACUCCUUUGGGAUGGUUCUUAACUUGACUCCAUGCUCGUGACUCACAACAAACCCUUUGAUUCUUGGUUGAUCCGAUCAAGUCUUGUCAAUAUCAAUGGAACUUGGUUGUUUAUAGGGUGAAAACCAUAAUCCACCAAAAUGGAUGAUUGAUCUUGAUGAUGACUUGAUCCAUCCUUUGACCAUUGUUUGUGUGUGCCUUAUGUAUGAUCCCUUGUGUGUGAUUGUUGCAUUCAUGCAUACAUGCACAUCAUGACAUUCAUCACAGUAAAUAAAUUUCAAGGAAACUAAGGUCUUAUUUGCAAAUAUUUUCAAACCAUGGAUUAUGGGCGAAGAAACACUAAGAAGUACAGUUUUAGAUGUCCUAAUUUGAAAGAGUUAAGGAAAUUGUCAUCCUUUGGAUUAGAUCCCUUAGAAUUCAAGCAACGUCAUAGGAAGCUCUUGUCUGUGUUAUAUACUGAUGUGGUUGAGGGACUUCUGAGUGUUUUGGUUCAGUUCUACGACCCUCUCUACCGGUGCUUCACUUUUCCUGAUUAUCAGCUUGUGCCUUUGUUGAAGGAGUAUUCCCAUCUCUUGGGUAUACCCGUAUCUGACAAGGUACCUUUCAAUGGAUUAGAGGAGAUCCCGAGAUCUCAUGUCAUAGAUGAAGCUCUUCAUCUGAAGAAAUCCGAGAUUGAUGCGCAUUUGGUGAAGAAAGGAGGAAUUAUUGUAUUGAAUUUUGAGUUUCUCAUUGGUAGGGCUACUGUUUUUGCUCAAGCUGGUAGCAUGGAUGCUUUUGAAGCUAUCUUGGUAUUUCUUAUCUAUGACUUGACUUUCUUCCCUAACAUUGACAAAUUUGUUGAUGUUAACGCCAUUAGAAUUUUCUUGAUGGGGAAUUAUGUUCCGACUAUGUUGGGUGGCAUGUAUUUCUCUUUGCAUUUGAGGAAUUCUAAAGGUGGUGGGACUAUUGUGUGUUGUGUUCCUCUUCUGUACAAGUGGUUUAUUUCACAUUUGCCUCAGACGCCUGCUUUCAUGGAGAACCGACAAUGUCGACGGUGGUCCCAAAGACUUAUGUCUCUCAUUAAUGAUGAUAUUGUUUGGUAUGAUUCUGCAUUGGGUAGCUUGGAUAUUAUUGAUAGUUGUCGUGAGUUCUCUAACGUGGCUCUUAUUGGUACGCAAGGAGGAAUCAACUACAAUCCAUCAUUGGCCCGUCGUCAACUUGUGUUCCCCUUAAGAGAUAAACCUAAUAACACUCAGUUAGAAGGUCUGUUUUAUCAAGAGGGUAAAGAUCCUCGCCAUUUGAAGAAAUGGAUGAUACAUGCUUGGCAUAAUAUGCAUAAGAAAGGAAGACCCGAGCUUGGUCUAUGCAACUGUGUAGCUUUGGAAGCUUACACUAUUUGGGUGAAGAAAAAAAUUUGGAGCUCAAGAUGUCGUACGCUUGUGAGAGACCUAUGUAUGUGGUUGUGGCUGAGCCAUCAACUCUCUCUAACCAAGAUGUAGAGGAGUUGGAAGACGCACUUGCCAAGAUGAAGCAAGUGAGAGAUAUAUGGGAAGAAUGGUUCCAUGCUUUGAACCGAAAGCAUGAGGAGAUGCAGCUUGAGUCUAAGGACAAGGAUGUGCUUAUUGAGAUUCUUGAAGACCGUGCAGUGAAGAGGUAGAGAGAGCCAAAGGGUUUAUCUUCCUCUAGCAUGCCUCAGCCUUCCGGUGCUUGGAAGAAGAUUAUUGAUCAACUUGUCCUCGAGAAAGCUCAAAUGAAGACAUCCUUUGAGUCAGAGAUUCGACGCAUCCGAAGGAAGUAUGCACCCAUAGCAAGAUCAUCUAAUGAAGUUGCUAGGGAUCCUUAUAAUGAUAGUUUCCUCUUCUCUAGUAUUUGUACUUUGGUUUCUGAAAUUAUACUCACUGUAAUCCUUCCAAUUUAUGAAUAAAAAGAGAUUUUAUGGUCAAUUAAAUUGUUAUUAAUUGUUAUUGAAGCGCCGUGAAAAAUACAGAGUCGCCACCAGAUUUUAUUUAUUCCAGAGGAAAGGGAAAAUAGCGAUAAAACCCCAAAUGAGAGAAAUGGUCUCGCAACCAAGAGCGGAUUCGGAAGUCGGUUAUGCAAGGGGAAGGUAUUAGAACCCCUCACAUCCAUGGUACUCCAUGGGAACCACUUGCUCGUAUCAAAUGCGUAUGGAUGUUUAUUUAUUUAUAAGUUGCUUGUUAUCGGGAAUGAGAUGAGAGAACAAGAUGGGGGGAGAAAAUAAGUUUUAAGUUAGUGUGCUCGCCAAGGAUUUGGGCCCUUGUGCCUACGUAUCCUCAUACAUGCAAUAAGGAAGUCAGAGCUUCGUAGUUCGGAUCACAAACAAAACAUUUGUUUGGUUAUUUUUACUGAACAAUAUUGACGUUCACGUGCUACUGUUCACUUGCUUGUAUACUCUGUCAUGGGAGCAGAAAAUAUUUGCUUAUUUGCGGUAAAGUGGAUACGCUUGGUUCACACUCUAGCAGUUAAACAUUACUUGCUCGCACAUGGAGGCUUUAGCAUCGUUCACGGUAGAAUGAAAGUAACACGUCCUUAUUGAAAGGUUUUGAAGAGAAAGCCCUAAGGCAAAAGAUGAUUUGAUUUUUUGGGGUUAAUUUUAUGUACGGAGACAAGCAUCAGACCCUUGACUAGAUACAGUCAACGGUCUAAUAACUCGAGAGUUGAGAGGACAAUGUUGUCCUAACAACUCUUUUUCAUCCAAAAAAUAGAUUUGAAUUGUGAAAAGAGUUUGGAAAGUCUAAUCAUUGGAACUUAGAGGGCGACAAGUAUCUGACCCUUGACUAAGUACAAUCAACAAUCAGAGUACAUGGGAAUCGAGAGGACCAUGGAAUCCUAACUACUCUUUUUCUCCCUCAUAGCACCUAGAUCUAACUUGUUUGAAUCAUUAGAUGUUUUAAAGGGGAAAGUCAAGUUCCGGGUUCUCAGGCUAGGUACGACCGACAACCGAAUUACUUGAAUGUUGUGUACAAACAUGUACACCCCAUUUCACAUUCUAAUUUGUUAUGAAAAUGAUUUUGAAAAAGGUACUUGACGUUGGAUCAAGCAUUUGAAUUCAUUAUGAAAAUAGUGUAUGAAGAAUGGAGGUGAGAGAUAGAAUGAGGUUAAGAAGAGAAUGGAGAAGAGAUGAUGGAAGGGAUCAUGGAACGGAUGGAGAAUAUUUGACGUUGGAUCAAGCAUUCACGUUGCAAUGAUGUGAGUUUUAUUCGGAAAAAAAAACUUGACGUUGAAUCAAAUACCUUUUGUUUCUUUUGAAAUGCUUGGUUUAUCAUUUUGUAUUUUUAUCUUGGUUAUUAACAUGCAUGGUGAACUAAUUAGAAAGCAAUAAAUCUAAGCUAUUACAUGACUAAGGGGUGGGGAAACAUUUAACCCAAAAAGGGAGAUCCACACAAAACAACAUGAAAUCAUGAAAGGAAACUACAACUUACAGCUCAUGUGCCAUGCCUAAACCAUACAAGUGGCAUGGCACUUCAAACAAUACAAACUAAUGAAUAAAAACUAAAAGGAAUAACUUGGAUGGUGUUUGGGUCUCUCAUUCACAUGUCUCCACGAAAAACAACAAUGGUUAGCAUGCAUUAAUAAAAUGGAAUUAAAAUGCUAAUUAAAAUGCUAAACAAAUGGAUAAAACAUUGAAAUGAUGGAAUGAUAUAAUGAUCUUGAUGAGAAACACACCAAAUUAAAUUGAAAUGGAAUUUUUAAUUUAGCCAUUAACCAUAAACAAAAUGUAACCAAAGUCAAAGUGAGACUAAUCAUGUACAUGGAAGUUAACAUGGCAAAUCAAACGAAAUUCUAAACAUAGCAUGGUUGAUCACACGAAAAUAAAUAAAGUCAAAGUGAGACUAAUCAUGUACAUGGAAGUUAACAUGGCAAAUCAAACGAAAUUCUAAACAUAGCAUGGUUGAUCACACGAAAAUAAAUUCUGGAAAAUUAAGAAAUUAAACCUAAUCCUAAUGAACCUAAUUAACCAUGAAUUAAGCUAAUUACUCUAAAAUAAUGCUAAAUCCUAAAUGGCAAAAAAACAGGAAUUAAAAUCUAUUUCAUAAAAAACACAACAUCAUGAUUAAUAACAAAAAUAGAAUUAAAAUUGGAAUUGACUAAAUCAAUUAUGAGAUUUAUCAUGAUUAAUAUGAACAAUGUUAGGCCAGGGGUAUGAAAACAGAUCAAGAGGGGCAAGUGCUGGGCCUAAGACCCAAUCAGCAGGACCUGCUGAAAUUCAGCACAAUAAUGAAUACAAAAAUUGCUAUCAGCAUGAAUGUUACUACUACACGUGACAGUGAAUAUAUGGAGUAAACACUCCUUGGACCAGUCAACCAAUCAAAGUAUCAAGGCAAAACAGAACCACCACCGGAGUUACGACACCACCGCGCCGGAGGCGGCGAAGUUGCCCGGAUUCCAGAAAAAGCACCAAUUUCUCACUCCUCUCAACCUCUUCUACCCUAAUCUCUCACCUAUUCUAACUAUAGAUUCUGGAAAUUGAGCAAUUAAAGUCAAGAAUACUGAGCACAAAAUCUGAAAUUAAAUGGAGGUAGGGGAGAAUCAAACCACCAAACCCUGGGGUUUUGAUCCUCCACUAUAUUCACUACAUUGAGGCAUAAAAGUUCAGCAAAACGAGUGAAGAUUCACUGACCUGCAAGACGGAGGAUUGUCUUGAAACUUUUUGAAACUUGGAAGUGAUGAAGAUGAAGAAGAGAAAACCAGAUGUAUGCUACUUUGAACCUUUAAUCUUCUACUUCUACUAUGAACUCCUCUUCUUCAAGACUCAACUCUGAAAAGUUCUGAAUUGGAUUGUUGUUGUUGAUGUUGAUUAUGUGAAUGUAGGGAUGAUUUUUGAGUGUAAGAGGUUUAGCUCAAUUGAUAACAAACUUCAAUGUGAAGCUUGCUCCAAUGGUGAUUUGAGCUUUGGUGUAGGGAGAGGAAUUGGAGAAGAUGAAGUGAGAAAAGCUGAAUUUGCAAUUUGUAAUUUGAGAGUGAUAAAAAAGGAGUCCUGAGUUAUUGCUCCCCCUUGUGUUUAUAUAGGUUGCAGGUUUGGAUCCAAUGGAGGUUUGGAGUUAGUUAUUAUCGGGUUAAGAGUCAGCUUAGGAGUUAGUUGAAGUGAACUCAGUGAGUUUAGUUGGUUAACUCACUGAGUUGGAAGUUAGUUGGUUGGAUUAGUUAAUUGGUUAAUUGGUUGGUUUUAAGUGAUUCCAAUAGUGAAUGGUUGUAGCAGGUUGCCUUUAAGUGGAUUUGACCUUGAAGUUUUGUUUAUGACCUAUUAAUCAAUUGGCUUAGGUGCAAAGUAUAACAAGUAAGCUCAAGUGUGACUUGCAACUGUAGGUUAAUGAAGAGUAUGUGAAUCAUUGUGUUUGUGAUGGUAUGACAAGAAUAUGUGUUUUGUAGUGUUUCAGCAGCUUGCAGCACUGUCAAAUAUGCUACAAGGAACAUGUUGAGUCGACUGAAACAGGGGAGAGUCGACUCAAGCAGAGUGCAUUCCAGGGUUGGGUCGACCUACGAGUCAACCGGUUCGGAUCCAUGAUGAACUGGUUCAGAUAAAAAUGGGAAAUGAGUCGACGUAAGGAGUGGGUAAGUCGACUCAAACAGAAUUUCCCAAAUUGGGUCUACCGGUGAGUCGACCUGUUGGGACCCGUGGCAAAAUGGUUCAAAGGGAAACAGAGAAUGAGUCGACGCAAGGAUUAGAUGAGUCGACUCAACCAGGUUUCGUAGAACUAGGUCGACUUGUGAGUCGACCUGUCCGGACCCGUGGGUUUUGCUUCGAGUCAAUGAGUCGACUCACAGAGCAGAAACUUCCAAAAAUGAGUUUUGCAUUGUGUUAUACAUUUUUUUGCACCUUUUUUGUAUGUAAGGACUAUUUUAAGGAUGAACAUGGAUGAAAUUGGCCAAUUGAAAGAAUUGGCUUAAUAUAUGAACAUGUUACUUGAAAUGGGUUGAAUUGAGCAGCAUAAUGGAACAUAACCCACACAAAAACCUAUGAAUGAACCAUUAGCCAUGAACCCGAGGGCCCAUUAAUGACCCAAACGAUCAAAGGCAAGAAUGAAACAAGGAUAUGGCAACAAAUGAAAUGGCCAAUGACCAAAUGACAGUAGGGCAUGGACAUGGACAAACAUAAUAUGCACAUGUGGGAGCAAGUAAUCCAUGGAAUCAAAACCAAAAACCCAACAUGAGUGACCCAUGACCAGGAGGUUGUUGGGUGAAGCUUGAUCAAGUAAGAGAGACACCCACAACAGAAUGAUGAUGGACCUAUUAGAUAGGGUUUAGGAGGCCAUAUAAAGAGUAUUGGAUAUAGUUAGACUUUGUGGCAAACAUGAUCAAGUAAGGAUCCCACGAUUAGGGCUUUGCUUCACCACUUAGCCAAAGUUGAGUUACCAAUGGUAACAACACACACAAACCUCAAGAACCACCUCCGAUUAGUGUAGCGGUAAAUUCAUGAUCAUCAAGCUAUGGAUAAGCUAGAGAUCAAAUAACAAGAGUCGCCACCGCGCUUUUACUAUUUGCAAGGGAAAAGGGAAAAAGUACGAACAAAACCCAAAAGUAAGAAGUUUUCAAAUCAAAACUAAUAAAAUGUCAGAGAUUACAGGUAAGGGGGUUGGUUACACAAAGGGAAGGUGUUAACACCCAAAGUGUCCUAGGUACUCCUAGGGAGCCCUUUUUGUGUGCAUAUGUAUUUGGUACAAAAUGAUGUUUACAAACAAAUAGAAUGAUGGGAUGAUAAAAGAAUUCAUUAAUUAUAUUUUUGUGUUUGACAAGCCCUUCAGACUUGUGCCUAUGUACCAACAUUAAAAUGAGGGAUCAAAACCUCGUAGUUCGUGAUACAAAUUUCAAAGUGGAUGCAUUGCUUUUAACAAAAUUAAGUUUGAAAGGCACAAAGGCCUAAAAAUGGUUUGAAUGAGUUAGUUCUUUUUGGCUAUUUGAAAGUUUAAGUCAAGUAUAAUUAAGUUUAUUUACAAGUUUGAUUUAAGAAAAGAAGUUUGAAAAUACAAUGGCAUAAGGCCAAAGUUUCUAUCUUUUUGCAAAGUAGUCAAAGUUUAGAACAAAACAAGUUUAAUCAAAGAAGAUUUUGAAAAGGGAGGGAGAGAUUUUGAAAUUAAAGAAAUGGGGAGAAGAUGAAGAGGCUAAUCUUAUGCACAAAAUUAAAAGUUAAGAGUUGAAAAGAUCUGACCAAAUGGGUAGCAAUCCAAUAGACAAGAAUGUCAAUAGAAACCCAUAAUUCCCUUGGACAUUUUGAAUUAAGCAACACACAAAUGCACAAUUUUAUUAUCUUGAAGAGAAAAGGCAUCAAAUAAAGAUAGCCACAUCCAAGCUUUAGCCAUUUCAUGAUCUCCUUCAAAUUAGUCCAUGCAACAGAUGAAUUCCACAAGUCACAGGUUCAAAAUAACAGCUUCACAAUGAUCAUAUUGCAGAUGAACUCAGAGGCAUCUUGAAUGAUGUAUCAGAUGAAGUUUCAAAUUGCAAGCACUUGGUUUCUCAAUAAGUUGACAUUGGCCAAGUCCUUUAGCAUAGGAAUGUUGCCUAAGUUCUAUGUCCAUUUGUCCAAGAUUAAGCCAACAGUCCACACAAAAGGUUUUUAGGGUUUUUGUUGUUUAUUAUGUACAUUAAUGGUCAAAGACCACUCAAACAAGCAAAGUAUAUACAAACAAGAUAUAUCACACAAUAUGGUCCAAGUAGACAAAGUGAAAAUUGCAUUAACAUAAACAAUUAGAAUGAUAUGAACAAUGACAAAUGAAUAAAGGCUAGAAUUAAAUGACAUUAAAGUAAACGGCUUGAAAUUAAAAGUUAGUUGUUAAUGGGUUAGAAGUUAGUAUUGUCUUGCUUUUGCUUUACAUUUUAGGACAUUCUUUGAAGAACACCCAACCUACUUAUCACAAGCAUGGAUCCUUGAGCCAAGACAUCUCCCAAAGGAAGGAAAAAAGACCAAGUUUCCACACAAUACCAUGAAAGAUGAGAGACUUACAAUCUCACUAACUAGAAUGCUAUGCCUUUUAUAUUACAAAUUUAGCGUUAUGUUAAGCAAUCGUAAUUGGACUUAUGUAGAAGUCACAACUAUUUGAGGUCGAGCAAUAGAAUUUUGGUGUUAAUGCAUGUUAGAGACAUAGUAUAAUGGACUAUGCUCAUGAAACAUACCGCACACAAAAAGAAUAUGCAAAAGAGGUGGCCUAUGUCAUCCGUACUCGUGUAAUUUUUCAAUCAACUAGCUUUAGGACUUUGAGAUAUCAUAGGCCAAAUGAGAUGAAUGCAUAAAGAAGGGGAAUGAGAUGAAGAGGAGGGGAAUGGAUCAAACUCAAAUUGAUCAAAGGAGGACUUUUAUCAAAUUAUUAUUAUCAUUCAUUUUGGAGAUGGAAUGUACAUUUCAUCAAUCCCCUAAAUCCAAUGAUAUUAACUUGACGAAAGUCAAAUCAACCUUGACCAAGCCAACAAACAAGAGUCAAACACAAACAAGUCAUCACAAUUGGUCAACAAAAUUAUUUGGCAUUUAUUCAAAUUAAAAAUACUAAAAUAAGGCAUUUAAAUUAAAUAUGGUUUGUCAAAUUCCUAAAACUCAUAAAACACAAAAUAAAUGGCCAUGGGAUUAUCAUAGGUCAACAAGGUCAAAGGACCUUGGAGAAAAAAUUUCAUAAUUUGUAAAGACUUAAAAGUAUUUUUAAAACAAUUAAAAACAAAUGCAAAAUCAAUUAAAUCAUGAAAAAUAUUAAUAAUGACAAAAAAUAAUUUUAAUUCAGAAUAUGAAAGAGGAAAUUAUUUGAAUUUUUUGGUUGAAACUCUCAUAUUUUUCGAUCAAUAUUAAAAUUAAUAUGGAUUAAUGAAAAUCAAAGGAAUAAAAAUUAAAUCAAAAAUCAAAAAAACGUGGACCACUUGAUCUGCCUCAUUAAUUGAGUGGCCAGAUCAAGUGGUUGAGCGCGCGCGUUCCAUGAUGCGCCUGAGUCAAACAUCCACACGCUUGGUAAUCAAUAUGUACGCUCAUGAUUAAAACAUUUUGAAUCCAUCUAAUGGCUCUGGACCGUGCCACAUCAUUGCCGGAGCAAAGCGCCGGUCGGCUUCUCAAGCGACCUUGACCAGACUGGUCCAUUCAUCACCAUAUCAUAAAUGAAAAAGGAGGACAUGAUCUGAAAGAAAAAAUGGUGUAGAGCACAAAUCUGACCUCAAUUUUAACUAACUCUACAUAUAUAGAAAUAUAUGAGGAUUUGAAUUUUGAGGCGUGUCAACUAAGUUGCUUCGAUUUAACCUCUAAGCAACUCAAUCUUCUUUCCUACCUUGGUAGGACUUCAGACAACCAAAGAUCCAAGAGAAUUGAGUGGAAUUGAGAGAGAAUCGAAGAGAUGGAAUUUUCUGGAAAAUACCUUCAAUGCAGGUCUGGAUUCACUUGUUCUUGCUUUGGCUCGUGUUUGAUCUUGCUCAGGAUGCUUGCAGAAGUAGCUUAGAAUGCACAAAAGGUCUUGGAUCCCUGGAGUUUUGAAUCUCAAAACAGUGAGAUUCCAACUCAAUUUGCAAAGGAAAUUCUCAGGAUUAUCCUGUCAAAUGGAAGGGUUUGGUGUUUGGGAUCAAAGCUGGCACAAAGGGGUCCUCAAUUCUGAGCAUAUGGAGCUCUAUUUAUAGCUGGAUCAUGUGAUAUUUGCACCUUCCAAAUGAGUUUCCAAAAUUGGCAAUGAGUGAUGCAUGUGUGCAUGGGCGUGUACAGGCAGAGCAUAUGGAGCUCUAUUUAUAGCUGGAUCAUGUGAUAUUUGCACCUUCCAAAUGAGUUUCCAAAAUUGGCAAUGAGUGAUGCAUGUGUGCAUGGGCGUGUACAGGCCCAUGAGAUCAUUCCAUUUAAUCCAUAAUUGAGUGUGAGUAAGUCUGAAAUCAACUUGGAAUGCAAGGCAAAUGUAUAUGGAAGCUUGAAGUUUGAUUCUUGCCAAAUGAUGAUGCAAUGUUCCAGCCAUGUGAAGCCCUAGCAAAUCUUGUCCAAAAUGGAUGAAAUUGGACUUUUUGGAAACGUUAGGUCAAGAGGAACAACUUUCAUGUUCAACACGUUUCCAUGGAGAAAUUUGAAGUGGAAGUUUGGAAAUUUCAACAUGUUGAAUUUUUUUUUAAGUGUCAAGCCAUAUAUCUCAAUAUUCCAUCUUGCUUAACUUUUUAUGUGAGCUUCAAAUGAGAAAUGUGUCUGCAUAAAAGUUGUAUCUCUUUCAAAGACAUUCAAAAUGGUCACCAAUUUCAUGUCAUUUGGAUUUAGAAUGAUAGAGUUAUUCAUUUUUGAAGUUUGGAAAAAUCACUUGUUCAAUGGUAUAGGUUAAAAGUGACCUAUAAUGUAACCUCAUAUCACAUGCUCAUAAAAGUUGAAUUAGCUCUCACUCCAAACAUCAAAUUUAAGUAGACACCUUGAAUUUGAUUUUUCAACUUGGAAAUCUUUCAUCUCAUAAAAAUUGAGCAAGUUAUGGCCUUGGGAAGUUGACUUCCAAAUUAGGGUUUAGACAAAAUGACCUAUAAUGUAUCAACAUAGAAAGUUAUUUUCCAAGAAAAACUAGAUCUAGGUCUCAACAUGAAAGUUGUUUAGAAUGUCAUUUAGAGUAACUUUUCUCUUGGAAUAAUUUUCAUAUGGUGAAAAUUGUAGGAGAUAGGGUCUUGGGAGACCUUGUUUGGAUUAGAUGAAUUCAUCUGGCCAACCACCAUCAACCAACUUGCUAACCUUCAAUUCUUUGGACUUUCUUGGAUCAUGGUAGAUCAUAUAUGAAUAAAAUGAUUAAUUUUGAAGUGUCCCUUGAUAAAUUUGAUUAAUUAGUGGGAUAGCUUGUUGGAGAAGUUACUCAAGAUACCCAGUCAAACUAGGGUUUCAAAGGCAAAUCACCCUUAAACUCUUGAAGAAAAAUUGAUCAAUAUAACAUGUAGAGGUCAUUGGGACUCAUAUAUGAUGCUCAUAACCAUUCCUGGAUCAAUUCAUGGUUGUGCUCUUUGUCAUGAGGGUCUCAAACCCUAGAUAUGAACUUGAUAUAUCAAUGGAGAUCAUGCCCUACCUACAAAAGAGUUAGGCAAAAUGCAAAGACAUAUUUUUGUAUUUUGGUUAGUAAAAUAAUAAUAUACAAGUAUGAUACAAUCACAUGGUGCUUGGUGAUCUCUCCCAAAACAAACCCAAUGAAAGAGGGGUAAGGAGGAUAAUGCAAAGACAUAUUUUUGUAUUUUGGUUAGUAAAAUAAUAAUAUACAAGUAUGAUACAAUCACAUGGUGCUUGGUGAUCUCUCCCAAAACAAACCCAAUGAAAGAGGGGUAAGGAGGAUGCCAAGGCAUGAUCCCAAUGCUAAUGCUUAUGAUGAAAUUGCAUGAGGGGUCUUAGGGUCAAAAUUGGGGUCUUACAGCUACCCCUAUUUAAGGACAUUCUAACUGAGGAGGCGAAGGUUAAAAUAACAACAUAUAGAAACAAAUUUUGGUGCCUAUGAGACCCCAUGAUGCAUAUGGUAUGAAUGUAAAAGUUAAUGCUUUGUGGGGAAAUAUUGCCACAAAGGAAAAGAAAUCAGAGAGACCGAAAGUCCAUAGGAGUAUAAUGCAUUCCAUAAGAAAAACUCACUAGGGAGACAUAGGCUCUGGGGGAUAAAUGAGUUAUGCGUAGGCCAAGCUAUGACUUAAAACUACUGGGGGGUACUCGAGGAAUUCCAUACAAACAUGGAAAGACUCUGCCGGGGAAACAACAACAUCUGUAGGGGAUACGAGUAAGUCAGGAUAAAACUGAAAUACUUGAAUCAUGCAGGAAAAGCGAUUUCACUAAGGAAAUGCGCACUCAACUCGAUUGGGGAAGAAAUAAACUUCAACACAGGAGGAGCAUAAAUCUAUUAUCUAGUACCUGUUACUAGGUAAGGAGAUGAUAGAGAUCUUACAAAGAGGGCAUCCGUCAUCGGUUAGGAUGAACAUAUCAAGGAUGACUCGCUGGGCACCAACAGAAGGGGUAUUCAUUACCGGUUACUGGGUAAGAAUAGCCUUACUGGGGGGAAACUGUAGAAAAUAGGAUUUACAACUACCAGUUACUAGGUAGAAGACCAAAGGUGAGAGUAUCCGUCAUCGGUUAAGAUGAACAUAUCAAGGAUAAACUCAACAGGGAAGAAAAUCCAUCAUCGGUUAAGAUGAACAUAUCAAGGAUAGACUUUCCUGGGAAAUGUCAAGGAGGAUAUCCAUCAUCGGUUAAGAUGAACAUAUCAAGGAUAAACCAACUGAACAAAAAAUAGGAAUUACAUCUAUUGAAUACUGGAUAGAAAACCAUCAAAGAGAAAAUUCGUCACCGGUUAAGAUUAACAUAUCAAGGAUAAACUCUAAGAGGGGAGAAAAUAGGAAUUACGCCUAUCGGUUAUUGGAUAGAAUACCAUCAAAGAGAAAAUCCGUCACCGGUUAAGAUGAACAUAUCAAAGAUUAACUCCGCAAAGAGAAGGAAACCCGUCAUCGGUUAGGAUGAACAUAUCAAGGAUUAACUCUCUGGGAAACAAGAAUAGGGAUUACAACUACCUUUUUACUAGGUAGAAUACCAAAAAGAGAAUAUCUGUCAUCGGUUAGGAUGAACAUAUCAAGGAUAAACUCAGGCAGGGGACAAAAAGAUAUCUGUCACCAGUGAGGGUGAACAUAUCAAGGAUAUACUUUCUGGGGAAUAGAUCCUCCGAGGACUCUACUGAGGAGGAAAAAAGGGGUACUUUUGUCGGGUAUUAGGAAAGAAGUAACAAACUGCAAACUAAGAAGACUAUUACCAUUUAUUGGGCAAUAAACUCUUAGGAGACUCGAAACAUAUAUCUAGUUAAAAGCUAGACAGAAACAAUUAAUCAAGACUCAACCCAAUGAGGAUAUAACUCAAGGGGAGUGAUUCCAUCCAGAUAAACAACUAGAAAGGAAACUGAAAUAAUAAUCGUCCACGAGGAAACAAACUCAGUGGGGAAGAGGAGAAAUGUUAAAGUAUUUCUGCCUAAGGGGAUGACGCUCUACAAUUGAGGGAGGACAGGCACCGAACUUUGUAUGGGGAUAAAGUACCGCCAUACAAAGAAUGAGAAUUUCUAAUAAGAUCAAUCAAAUAUGACGAUGUAAAUAUGCAAAUAAUGAAAUUAUAUGAACGUAUAUGUAUAUGUAUAUAUGAUGAUUAUGCUGACAAAAUGAUCACAAAAGAUACAAAGGUGUCGUAAAGAAUUUGAAUCAUCGGUAUAAUCCUCGGUCAAUCCACAAAAAGAGGGAGACAAAUGCUGGAGAACAGAGAGAUCAACAAACUAAAGGAUCAAACCUAGCCGAGGGAGGAGAUCUGCUGAGGAGAGGCGAAAUUAUCGAGUCUGUAAGGAAUUUUAGGUCUACGUCAUAUCAAAUGGGAGACAACCAUACAAAAGAUAAACACAAAACAACUGCUUAGAAGCCAGGAGGAAACUCUGACUGGGAGCGAGUCGGAUGGUGACUGGUGGGGAAACCAACGCGAUCUACCAGGGAAGCAUCUUACUCUGCUGAAGAUCAACCCUGUUGGGGAAUACAGAAACACUGUCGGGAAAUAACACGCCGCAAAGUACUGAAUCAACCAACUUAGCUGGGAAAAAGGAUCGGAACUCCGCUAGGGAACUAACACUCCGCAGGGGGACCGGAACAACACAAACAACCAGGAAUGCCCGAAGGGUUAACUGCUUAGGGAACCUCUGAUGUUUCGCACUUAAGGACUUGCUACUCUUGAAAUGUUGUUGAUACUUCCUUUUAAUUGCUUUGAAAAUUUCUUGUUUUUAUAUGUUUUUGAGAAAUAAAUGAUUUUGAUUAAAAAAUUUAAAUUUUCAAAAUGAUCAUAAUAGAAUUUAAACUAUUGGCUGAAGUAAAUAAGAGUAGAAACAAUUGGAUAAAAGCUCAACUUUAUUUAAUGGGAUGAUAGUCUGUAAAUGACAAGACUCCAUAGAUUUUUACAAAGUUGAAAAUGGUAAUUUACAUGGAAAAGGGAUACAUUGAAUACAAAUGAUCCUUUAUCCUUCUACCAAUUCUUGAUAUCAACUGUGCUCUUGACCGCUGUUGGGAUGAUGAAUCGAUGUCAACCCUCGUGCUUAACAAAGUCUUUCCAAAAUUGGACGAUAAACCGACUGCACUUACUUGCCAUAAUCCCUAAUUUUUGCAUAAGUGGCCCCAAGGUGGGGUACUCAACUUAUCGGGAAAUUUUUUCUGUUUUUUAAGUCUCUAACUUUUACUUGGAUCGCCCUUUCGGGUUUUCAAUCCACCGAGAUGCUUUUUUUUUUGCCUAAGUCGCCCUUUUGGGUUUUCAACUUAGCGAGCUGUUCUUUUCUUUUUAGGCGAAGUAUUUCUAGACUGCAUCUGCGUUCACAGGACGAGUGAACUCUUCACAAUCCAUAGUUGUAAGAAUCAGAGCACCGCCUGAAAAGGCUCUCUUAACAACAUAUGGGCCUUCAUAAUUAGAAGUCCAUAUCCCCCUAGAAUCUGAUUUGAACGAUAAAAUCUUCUUGAGCACAAGGUCACCUUCUCUGAACACACGAGGUUUGACUUUCUUAUCAAAAGCUUUCUUCAUCCUCUGCUGAUAUAACUGACCAUCACAGAUGGCAGUCUAUCUCUUCUAUUCAAUCAAAUUCAAUUGAUCAAAUCUGGUCUGACAACAUUCAGCCUCAGUCAACUUGGCUUCAAUGAUCACACGCAAUGAAAGAAUCUCAACCUCUACGGGGAGCAUUGCUUCCAUACCAUACACAAGUGAGAAAGGGGUUGCCCCUGUUGAAGUGCGGACGGAUGUACGAUACCCAUGCAAAGCAAAUGGGAGCAUCUCAUGCUAAUCCUUAUACGUGACAACCAUCUUCUAGAUAAUCUUCUUAAUGUUCUUAUUUGCAGCUUCAACAGCCCCAUUCAUCUUAGGUCUGUAGGGAGAAGAAUUAUGAUGUGCAAUCUUGAAGUCUUUGUAAAGAGCUUCCACCAUAUUGUUAUUCAAGUUUGAUCCAUUAUCAGUAAUGAUCUUACUUGGCACACCAUAACGACAUAUGGUCUGAUUCUUGAUAAACCUUACCACAACUUGCUUGGUUACAUUCGCAUACGAUGCCACUUCAACCCAUUCGGUGAAGUAAUCAAUUGCCACCAAAAUGAAACGAUGUCCAUUCGAAGCUUUGGGCUCAAUCAUCCCAAUCAUAUCAAUUCCCCACAUGGAGAAAGGCCAUGGGGAAGAGAUAAAAUUCAAUAGUGUCGGAGGAACAUGAAUCUUAUCAGCAUAAAUUUGACACUUGUGGCACUUCUUCACAAACUUGCAACAAUCAGAUUUAGUUGUCAGCCAAUAGUAACCUGCUCGCAACAUCUUCUUUGCCAUUUCAUGUCCAUUGGAAUGAGUACCAAAGGAUCCUUCAUGCACUUCAGUCAUCAACAAGUCUGCUUCGUGUCUAUCCACGCAUCUGAGCAAAACCAUGUCGAAGUUUCUCUUUUCAGUACAUCACCAUUCAAGUAGAAAUUACCGGCUAAUCUUCUCAAAGUCUUCUUAUCUUUCAAAGAUGCCCCAAGCGGGUAAUUCAGACUUUGGAGGAAACAUUUGAUGUCGUAAUACCACGGCUUCUCAUCUUUGAUCUCUUCAACAACAAACACAUGAGUUGGCCUAUGAAUACGCAUUACAAACAGAUUGGGAACUUCAUUCCAAUAGUUCACAGCAACCAUUGAUGCCAACGUUGCAAAGAAAGUUGAAAUCUUGAGGAAUAUGAUGGAACUCAACCUUUGUAAAGAAAGUUGAAAUCCUCCUCACAUAAUCUCUAUAUGGUAUUAAACCGGGUUGAUUUGUCUCCCAUUCACCUUUGAUCUGAUUCACAACCAAAGCUGAAUCUCCAAAGAUAUCCAAAUACUUGAUUCUGAGAUUCAUGGCCUCUUCAAGCCCCAUAAUGCAAGCUUCAUAUUUGGCCAUAUUGUUUGUACACUUGAAAGUCAAUCUAGCUGUAAAUGCUAGAUGCGUGCCUUGAGGAGUAAUAAUCACUUCCCCAAUGCCAUUACCAUAUUGAUUAACAACUCCAUCAAAUACCAUGCCCCAACGGGAACCAGGUUCUGGCCAUUCUUCAAGCAAUGGUUCAUCACAAACUUUCAUUUUCAAGUACAAAAUCUCUUCAUCAAGAAAAUCAUACUGCACUGACUGGUAAUCUUCAAUCGGUUAAUGAGCCAAAUGGUCAGCCAAGAUACUACCUUUGAUCGCUUUCUGAGAUCGGUAUCCAAUAUCAUACUCUAAUAACAACAUCUGCCAACGGGCAAUCCUCCCAGUUAAAGCAGGCUUCUCAAAUAUAUACUUGAUCGGAUCCAUUUUGGAUAUCAACCAAGUGGUAUGAUUCAACAUAUACUGACGCAGACGCUUGGUAGCCCAAGCCAAUGUGAAACAAGUUUUCUCAAGCCUAGAAUACUGAGUCUCAUAGUCGAUGAACUUCUUACUGAGGCAGUAAAUUGCAAAUUCUUUCUUUCCAGUUUCAUCUUGCUGACCAAGAACACAACCCAUACUAUCUUCGAGCACAGUCAAAUACAUGAUCAACGGUCUUCCCUCAACAGGUGGAGACAAAAUCGGAGGCUCAAGCAUAUAUUCUUUGAUACUAUCAAAAUCUUUCUGGCAGUCUUCAGUCUAAUCACAAGACUGAUCUUUCUAAAGAAGCUUGAAUAUAGGCGCACAUGUGGCAGUCAUGUGGGAAAUGAAUCUGGAAAUAUAAUUCAAGCGGCCAAGAAAACCUCUGACUUACUUCUCAGUUUUGGGCGCAUGCAUAUCUUGUAUUGCUUUGACCUUGGCAGGAUCAACUUCAAUACCCUUCUCACUGACAAUAAAUCCCAACAACUUACCAGAACGAACACCAAAAGUACACUUAUUGGGAUUCAAGCGGAGUUUAUACUUCCUCAAACGCUGGAAUAACUUCAACAAAUGCUCAACAUGUUCCUCUUCAUCAAUUGAUUUAGAAAUCAUGUCAUCGACAUAUACUUCAAUCUCUUUAUGCAUCAUAUCAUGAAAAAGAGUAGUCAUUGCUCUCUGGUAAGUUGCACCAACAUUCUUUAAACCGAAAGGCAUCACUCUAUAACAGAAUGUUCCCCAAGGUGUAAUGAAUAUGGUAUUCUCCAUAUCUUUGGGUGCCAUCUUGAUUUGAUUAUAUCCGGAAAAUCCAUCCAUAAACAAAAAUACUUUGAAUUUAGCAGUAUUGUCUACCAGCAUAUCAAUGUGUGGUAGAGGGAAAUCAUAUUUCAGACUGACUUUAUUCAAAUCUCUAUAAUCGACACACAUGCAGACUUUUCCAUCUUUCUUAGGCACAUGCACAAUAUUGGCCACCCAUUGCGGAUACUCAGCGGUCACAAGGAAACCGGUGUCAAUCUGCUUCUGCAUUUCCUCUUUGAUCUUCACAGCCAUAUCAGGAUGCUAUCUUCUCAACUUCUGCUUGAAUGGCGGACAUUCUGGCUUCAAUGGCAAUCUAUGCUCCACAAUCUCGGAAUCCAAACCAGGCAUGUCUUGAUAGGACCAAGAAAACACAUCUGAAUACUCCCGAGGAAGAUCAAUCAACCCUUUCUUGACAUCUGAACAUAGGCGAGACCCAAUCUUGACUUCCUUCACAUCAUCCUCGGAACCCAAGUUGACUAGCUCAAUCUACUCUUCGAACGACUGAAUGGUCUUUUCAUCUUGCUCAAGAAGACGAGUUAAUUCAUCACUCACUUCUUACAUCACUUUCCUCCUUGGCUUCAAACACAGGGAAUUCAAAAUUUGGAGAAGGAGAAUGAUCAUUAUAUUCAAUGGGGUUAGGAACCAACCUGCAUAAUAAUUUGAUAUUUUGACUUUAGAGAAGUGAAUUUGUGACCAAAUAUUAUGCAGAUGGACAAUUAUAUUAUUUAUUUAUGUUUUUUGUGAUUACCAUUUUCAGAAUAAAGCAAAAAGUAAAAGAUAAACAUCAUAGAUGUGGAUGAAUGGAAUUAAUUUUAUUAAUGAUCAAUUUGAAAAUGCCCAAACAAUGUUCACUUCUCCCUUAGGCAUAGGAGAAGGAUUUUGAAAACAUAUAAAAGCAAUUACUUAGAUCGAUGCAAAAUAACAGGAACAUCUACAGCAGUCCAAUUGUUGCAAGCCUUUCCAUGCAUCAUAAAAUUGGUGCAGUCUUUCUCUUCGUCAUCCUCUAGCAUAUCAGUUAAGUGUUGCUCAUUUCCAUGAAUGAACCCUCUGCUACGGAAGCUAAGUUGUAUAUCUUCAGACCUUGUGGUUGAUGAACCUUGCUGGAACCCCAAACCGGUUCUGCCUUUAUUGUCGGAGACCUCUACCAUGCGCCCCCACGAAUCAACAUUGCCUUCUUCCACAAUCUUCUUAGCAUCUUUCAAUGAGGACAUAGGUGCCCUAACUCUAUUUUCAGCAGUAAUAGAUAAGGCUUGGAUCGGAGUUCCAACCUCAUCCUCAGCUUCAACAUAAGAGAAAGAUGACAGGUGGCUAACCAAAAAUGCCUUCUCUCCACCAACAAUCACAAGCUUGCCAUUCUUCACAAAUUUGAGUUUCUGAUGCAAAGUUAAAGUAACAGCUCCUGCCUCAUGGAUCCAUGGCCUUCCCAACUAGCAAUUGUAGGCCAGGUGGAUAUUCAUUACUUGAAAAUUAAUUUGAAAAUCACUCAGACCUAUCUUAACUAGAAGGUCCACUUCACCAAUAACCGUUUUGCGCGAACCAUCAAAGGCAUUGACGAUUACACCGCUAUACCUCAUAGGCGCUCCUUGGUACGAUAGCUUUGGCAGAUUUGACUUCGGAAGUACAUUCAAUGACAACCCGGUGUCAACAAGCACAUUUGACGAAGCACAUUUGACAAAACAACCUUUUCCUUGAUUACUACUAGACAUCUGUCUAGAAGUUCCAAGGUCAGACACAAGGUACUCCACGUGUUUGCUUUAUCUGAUCUUCAAGAAUACCAAAGGAUUGGUUCCUGGAGAUUUCUAACUCAGAUAACUUCUAACUUGGUAGGAGUAUCAGAGUCAGAGGCUCUUAGGUAACACAAAUGUAGUCUUAGAGUAAAAUGUUGAACAGAGGCACAUAUUAUUCAAGGCAAUUUUGAAUGUUCAGAUUCUUUAGGAUGAAGAGGAAUCUAUCUUCAGCUAAGGUUUUAGUAAAGAUGUCAGCCCAUUGAUGAUCAGUAUCAAUGGAUUUCAAUGUUACUACCCCUUUCUGAGCAUAGUCUCUGAUAAAAUGAUGUUUUAUUUCUAUGUGCUUAGCUCUGGAGUGUAAAAUAGGAUUCUUGCUUAAACAAAUGGCAACAGUAUUAUCAUAGAAGAUAGGAAUGUUACUCUCGAAGAUUUGUAGAUCCUCUAAUUGAUUCUUCAUCCAGAGCAUCUGAGUGGUGCACAGUGAUGCUGAGAUGUAUUCCGCUUCUGCAGUGGACAGGGCUAUGGUUGAUUGUCUUUUGUUGGCCCAGGAUAUCAGAUUCUUUCCCAUAAGUUGACAAUUUCCAGAUGUACUUUUUCAUUCCAUUUUGUCUCCUGCGUAAUCUGCAUCACAAAAACCAGAUAGUCUAUACUCUGAUGUUUUCUGAUACAUCAGGCCCAGGUUAGGAGUUCCUUUCAGAUAUUUGAGAAUUCUUUUAACUGCUGUUAAAUGAGUUUCUCUAGGAUCUGAUUGGAAUCUGNCCGGCCAACGCCUUGCCAAGAAUGGAGACCAUGUCCACAGCCUUUAAGCUAGUCCCAAAGACUGAACAGCAUCAGCCUGAAGCCCCCGUGGCCCGAGCCUCGUCACCUCUCACAUCAUAACUCAGAGAUCAGAACCUCCGACUAAGAAUGAACCUCUCAACAAGCAAGAUCACAUCCUUAGCCCAUAUCAACAGUCAACACUUCUCCUGACACGCGCCUCAGUAUAGCCAGAACUACAACGCACUUCCACGCGCGCGACCGAACACAUAUCAACGCCCCCUCCCCGCUCCCCCGAUCCCCCGCCUGACCUCCGACACUCACGACAUCGACCUAUGACGAACAAAUUAUAUCCUCCUCUGACAGGAACGAGAAAACAACUCCUGAGAAAUGAGGAAUAAUCACUUCAGGACCACAAGACCACCGACGGACCCAUUCGACACUCCAAACUCCAAGAAGGUAAACACUAACAAGAUCUAUACUUUUUAUAAUAAAAGAAACACGUAACUACACAGAAAAGUCAUAGCCAAUCCAAAGUAAACCGUCUCCAGACACACAGAACUGCGAAGAAAAAUUCCCUCACCCUGAACCAAAAAGGGACGAUGCUACCGGAUGACACCGCCUCCCCCCAGAAUCCUGACUCAUCACAAUCAGACCCCAGAUAACAAGGCUAAGUACCACUCAUGCGCCUACCAACCCCCACACUCCAAGAACACUCAAAUGAAACAACUCGCAACUCAACAAGAGUAUUCCUUCUAAAGCCCCCGCCGACGGACUAGAAUCCAUGUCGCUGUCUGAACCCCACCUCAUAUCAGAAACUCAAGCAAAAAUUAAGCAUAAAAGCGUCUUGAAGAAACCUAGAAAAAUUCGGCACAAACUUAAGAUAAACAAUUUCUAGAACUAAAAGAUAAAAGAGAACUUGAACAUUAAAAGAGAGCAAACCAAAGAAAAAUUGCUACAAAACUUCAAGAAGCAUAUUCAAGCUCUCCACAAACUUCAAACACAAUAAUUUAUAAUAUGAAAAAAUCUUUCAAAGUUUCUGAAAAAUGGGUAUUGGGAGGAAUAUAAUGCGUCAUGCGGAUUUAUAGGAGUCAGUCAAUAAUAGAAGACUGAAGUCGAGACGUCCUAGUCGAAGAUACCAAACUUCCACAAUGCCGCCCCAACCCCAGAAUCUCCCCCAUCUCCCAUCAUCCACCUCCUCAUCACACCAUAGCGCAAAGAGCAACAAUACAUAAUGCAGAACCCAAACCCCCAAAUGUUUACAACCGAAACUCUGGAACAACAAUCCACAAAGCACCGCAAAGACUCGGUACUCAAAUGAACCGGACCGGCGUCGCGGCGACCCGGAAGACCCCAGCGCACACCCGCGCAGGGGAGCGCCGUCGCAGGAUACCAAAAUCGUUAUCGCCCACAGUACCUAUCAUAGCCCGCAUAGUAAACCCACACAGCCCACGCCCCUCACGUCAUGGUACACCCUCGCACUCUGACUGCUCGCGACCCACGACGGCACAAAAGUACUAUGCUAACAAAAGCCUGCAGAACUUAAAAGAUGCUCGAGAUUCCAGGCCCUCAGCGACGGAGACCAGCAAACGAAGAAUCAGAGCUCCAGAAAUAUGCACAUCGGUACUCACCCCUCUAUAACUCCUGAUGCGUGUACAUAACAACGACCCCCUCCAGAUAGCAACCAAAUCAUGUCUAUCAACAAUAAAUCAACCAGAAUACACGCACACUCCGAACCCAACUCUUAAUCACACCAACAAUCCUAAAGCCAUACACAAUAACAACAACAACGCUCGGUUUGUCCUACCUCACCUGCAAAGGAAAAAAAAAA